UUUGUGUCAUCAGCAAAUCUGGAGAUGUUACAUUUAAUUCCUUCGUCUAAAUCGUUAAUAUAUAUUGUAAAUAACUGGGGUCCCAGCACUGAUCUUUGCGGCACCCCACUUAUCACUGCCUACCAUUCUGAAAGGGA